UUAAUUAAAGCCAAAAUUUGAGGCACUCCAUUGUUAAUGGAGGAAAUGGUUAUAUAACCUAAUUAAA
rnacentral:tRNA from 1 species